ACCCCGCCCAUGGCGUGUGCGGAGCAGAGGUUAGCUAUAUAAGUAACUCUGUUCCUUCCAACUCAGUCAGUGAAAUCUGUCCGUGUUUGUUGGUGUGUGCAGAAUGUGGGUAUAAAGAAGAGCAGACAGCAGCAGUAUGGAGAAGAUGAUCUGCAGGAUCCUGCUGCUCAUCAUCCUCACCUCAUGUGUCUCUGGAUCAUUUGUAGUCAAUGUGACACAGACCUGCUAUCAGGCAGAGGAGAACCACAACAUCACACUGGAGUGGACGUUCAC